rnacentral:misc_RNA from 1 species
CGUUCUACCUAACUGUCGUGCUCGCGCGUGUAGUGUGCGCGCUUUGCCCGCGGCAACAUCGACACCUCACCCACCGAGCCACACCCGAUCCCUCAGCAGGCUAAACGCGCCUGCGCAUACACUCCCACACACAGGGGGCAACAUGUCCCAAGUCGCGCGAGGAAAGAAGAUGUUCGACGACGUAUCCUCCUUUUCCGAGGAGGACGUCGUCGAUGACGAGGCGAUGAUGCAACACAAGGUCAAGUCACCGCCCAUGACGCACUCAGCGCAGCAUGUAGACGCUGCAGUUUUUCAUUUGACGGCGCUCUCAGCAACAACAGGUCCACAGGUUGAUAGCGAUGACGAUCCCAACGCCUUUGUGCCCAAGUCGGCGUCUUCAUUCCAGCAGGUGGCGGAGCCGGAGGGUGCUGGUGGAGAAGACGCGGGACACGUGACGAUGGUUGCACGCGUGUCCGUGUCGCUGACUCCGAAGGACUCUCCGCGAGUUGCAUCGCCAACGGAGUCGUCGGCGCAGGCUCAAGUGCUUGUGCAAUACCCCACAGUAACCAUGCAAGCUCUAAAGCAGCCCAAAUCCGCUGCGGCCGGCAACCUGCCGUGGAACAGGGCUGUUCUGGGCAGUGCCUCUGCGUACAGUGCACCGGCAGCCGUGUCACAGCGGCAGUCAUGGCCCGAAGAGGUCGAAGCCGCCGUAAGUCCUCAGCAGGCUGGCGCCGAUAGGGCGAGUUUGCGGAAGGGCCGUCGCCGCCCCUACACCCCUUGUGUGCAUAGCCUGCGCGUGAAUGAACGCGGCGGCGGUGCAGCCGCGACUGGUGCUGAAGGUCCCACUCCUGCGCAGCACCCUGAGCGAGUGGAAACGGAAGCGGGGGCAUUCGCCACCAUGGAGAACCGCGAGGAGGUCAAGAGGGCACGGCGUAGCCCUGACGAGUCCGAUGACGAGAUGUACGAGCAGUACACGCCAGCCUCGAUGAGCCGGGCAACGGCGGCGCAGAUAGAGUGCUCCGGCGAAGAAUAUGCGGCUCACUAUGGCGCGCACGCCGGCCUUAUACAAGGCUGGCACAGCGAACUCAGCAAGGACAAGGACUUCCCUUUCGCUUCGUACAUCUUCCCCCGCCUCAACUCAGCCUUGGCGAACUAUCAGGGAACCCGCACCGCGGUUGCCGCGGUGAAGCAGGGUGAUGCGAUGCCGCCCAACGCGGUGGAGACGUGCUGCGCGUACCUGAUGGUGACAGAUAUUCGCGUCGCUAUAUACCUCGUCGUGCUCUUCGUAUCGGUCGCGCUGGUACUGGUGUCGAUCCCCACGUCGCAGCUGGACAUCGUGGGCGCGGCUUGCCUCACCUACUGGGGCUACAAAAACAACUGCGACAACUCUACCUACACCAUCCCUCGGCCGCUGUACCCCACCCCCUAUAUCCGCAGACACCUCGGCGUCGGCGCCGCCUUCUCUAUCAUCACGCUGAUUGUGCUACUGGUGAAUUUCGCGGCUGCCGUCAUCGUCGUCUGCUGCCUAAAGGCGGCACCGCACACCAUCUCGUUCAACUCUCGUAUCGUCCUCGGCGCCCUCGGGUGUGUGGGAGUGUUCACGCAGCUGAUUUCAUGGGCGGUGGUGGCGAGAAUCUACAAUUCUGGUCACUACGCCGCAGGUGAGCUCGCAUACGGAGCCGGCUUCGGGCUUAAUCUCUCGUCGUGGGUGAUGCACCUUCUCGGUGUCACACUCGUCUUCGCUGUACCCUCUCAUUUUGUGAACCGCCACCAGCAGCGCGGCUGAAGACGAACGAGAUUGACUGGUGGCGAGCGCCCGAGACGCGUUACCGUGGGUGUGUGCGUGUGCGUGUGCGUGUACCCGUAUCCGAGGCUUCAUGCUCCUCUCCUCUCAAGCGGGGGCAUGUUUUCUUCCGCUUGCCGUCACGCACCGUCUGCCAGUGUUCAUCUCUCACCUGUGUGUGGUGGGUGUGCAAUGUGUACCACAAUUCCCUUCCCGCCGCCCCGCCGACGGUUCUCAGGGUUGUCCUGAGCUUUUACCUUUUGUUGCUGUUUUGUGGCGUUCUUGCCAUCCAUAGAGCUCUCGUCCUCGUCCCUCUUUUUUUUUAUGCGCGUCUCCUGGCGCGGGUGCAUGAUCUGCUGGUCUUUGCACAUAG